GUUGUUCAUGAUGAUGUUUGUGAUUCGUCGGAAACGGUGGCGUUUUGGCCGGAAAUUUGAGAUAAGUUGUAACUGUUUGGUGAUGCUUAGAUUCCGGCGAUGGGUUGGUCGAUCGGAGGUGGGGAAUAACGAAAGAGGUUGAGCUCGUGGAGAGGAGUGGAUUGAUUACGGUGGUGCUGGCUAAAUCGCGGCGGAAACCGGUGAAUGACGGCACGGUUGGCGCGGCUGUUUUGGUUGUUUUUCCGGCGAUCUGUGGCUAAUCAACGGUGUCCGAUGCUUGGGGUUUGAUGGCCGGCGAUUUAUGAUCCGUUUAGUGGUGGUUGCGU
rnacentral:lncRNA from 1 species